AGAGAAUACAAUACGUAUGUGCUGAGCCU
rnacentral:piRNA from 1 species